rnacentral:rRNA from 1 species
CCUACGGGAGGCAGCAGUGGGGAAUCUUAGACAAUGGGGGCAACCCUGAUCUAGCCAUGCCGCGUGGGUGAUGAAGGCCUUAGGGUCGUAAAGCUCUUUCGCCUGUGAUGAUAAUGACAGUAGCAGGUAAAGAAACCCCGGCUAACUCCGUGCCAGCAGCCGCGGUAAUACGGAGGGGGUUAGCGUUGUUCGGAAUUACUGGGCGUAAAGCGCGCGUAGGCGGAUUAGAAAGUUGGGGGUGAAAUCCCGGGGCUCAACCCCGGAACUGCCUCCAAAACUGCUAGUCUAGAGUUCGAGAGAGGUGAGUGGAAUUCCGAGUGUAGAGGUGAAAUUCGUAGAUAUUCGGAGGAACACCAGUGGCGAAGGCGGCUCACUGGCUCGAUACUGACGCUGAGGUGCGAAAGUGUGGGGAGCAAACAGGAUUAGAUACCCUGGUAGUCCACACCGUAAACGAUGAAUGCCAGUCGUCGGAUAGUAUACUAUUCGGUGACACACCUAACGGAUUGAGCAUUCCGCCUGGGGAGUACGGUCGCAAGAUUAAAACUCAAAUGAAUUGACGG